GCAGGAAGGAAGCAUGGUAGUGUGUACAGAGAUGAAACGGUCUGCAUGUCUGCUUGCUGUGAUGCCUUCGGUCUUUGAUCUCGCAGGCCUGGAUUUGACCUACACUC
rfam:Setaria italica strain Yugu1 chromosome V, whole genome shotgun sequence.